rnacentral:lncRNA from 1 species
GUUCUAUUGGUUACUCAGAACAGCCUUGAUAUGACACAAUAGAGGACUAGGCAAGAGCAUCAAUCCAGGAAUUUAGGGCUCAUGGGUGCCAUCUUGGAGACAAGCUAGCAUGCCUGUAAUGCUAGAAGCUGAACCCAGGAGCACCAUCAGAGGCUGUAGAUUCUGGUGAUGUCUCAAACACUCUUCCUGUGAUCUUGAUACAGUAACAAAAUUUCUGAGUACCCUGAAAAUGGAAAUAAUAUGUUUCUACCAGAGACAACAGAAGCUGAAAUAUAACUGCUGAGAAAGGAGGAACUUUUCUAGAAGAACUUAAAUCCAAAAGGCUAUGGGAUAGUAAUGAGAAG